GUAUCAGGGGCGUACACAGGGUGGUGCUUAGGGUGCUCCAGCACCCCCAUCCAGGCUCUGGUGCUCCAGCACCCUAUCCAGACUCAGAGAAGCUCAAGUAGAUAGUUCAACCAUCACUGGCUGGCUAGAAGGAAGCUACACUUACUGCAACUAUCUACAGCUUAAUAGUGAUAGUUACAAUAACUUUAUACCAGUUAGAUCUAGCUAGCUAGCCUAAAAAACUUACUUUUCUUCGAUCGUUACUGGGAUAUCCAUGGGAACUAAUAAAGAGUGGGGAGGGGCUCAAUAAUAAGGCUAGGCAGCAGGAAGUGGUUUGCUGUAUCAAACACUUGAGCUUGCCUCACAACAUGCAGCACAACAAGGUUCUUGGAUCCAGGUACAUGAGGUACGUACUGGUGGUCAUACUUUGUACGCUGCCUGUCACCUCCUGGUAAGCUGAUCAAUCUUUUAGUGGCCUGAAAAGAAAAGAAUCAAGACUGUCGUCAGAUCAAGCAAAGGAACAAAUGUUUAUCAUCACGUAACUUCUACAUUUACACAGAGACUAGACAUGAUUGCAUUGACAUUUGACAUACCUUAAGAAGAGUUGACAUUUGACAUACCUUAAGAAGAGUUGGCUAGAGUUUGACAUCCCAGGCGAAUUGAGCUUCUGGUCGUAAACAUUCUUGACUUGCUGAUGGCACUGUAAAAUACUGUCAGUACUGUGGCUGGCACCAUCUAGAAAACAGUGGGCGUUGCCGACAAAAGGGGCGUGACCCCGGAAGUGGGCGUGGUCUAAAUUUUGCGCGCAAUGAGCACCCACCAUUGAUUGAAUCCUAGGAUCGCCCCUGUGUAUGUAUCUAUCAUUGGCUUUUAUUGCUUAAUACUGUUUUAGGGGCUAGAUCUGUACAUGUGUAAACUAGGCCCUGAUAAAUUAUGCUUUUAUUCAUCCAUUACUCUUUAAGUAUAGGAUAGACUACAUCUAAGAGUAGAAUAUGUGUCUAUGUAACCUCCGCGGUUGCGGUUAGCCCGAGGCGCAAAGCCGAGGGAAUCUAACCGUAACCAAGGUGGUUACUAAGACGCAUAUUCUACGAGUGGGUGUGGUCUAUCUAACUUGGACUUCAUUGCGCAUGCGCGAGGCGUGGUUAUAAAAAGCCAGGUUUGGUGCGUAGCAACAGAAAUUGAAUUUGUGCGAGCUGGACGAGCUGGAGAGCUGUGAGAGACACCAGUUGACAGAAAAAGAUAAGAAGACGGCUUCAAAACAAUGAAAAAACUUAGUAAAGCUUGUGAAACGCUUCUUGAAGAUACUGGAAAGAACAGACAAGUAAAAAGAACCUAGAACUAUGCUAGAACUGACUGCAACACUACAAGAAGAAGAAUGAAGCUCUGUGGUGGAGUGGAGGGGGUAUAGAGCAGACUGGACCGGCAUGGAACCUUAAAAAACUCAAUAGAAAAUGUCAAGCGACUGCUAAAGUGUUUUUGAUGCUUCCUGGCCCCCCUUGCCCAUUCCCAACUGGAAAAAGCAAUACAAAGCAACAGUGGACAUGGAAAGAAUGGACUGUUGACUGAACAAACUAUUGCAUACUGUGUUUUUAUAAUGUUUUUGUCAUCUUCUUGUCACUUUCACUAAAAAUUUCAUUUCAACUUUUGAGAA